rnacentral:lncRNA from 1 species
CAGCGCUGUACAAUGGGUGGACUAACAGACAUGUAUUUGUAACCAGACAAGUUGGACGCACAGGAACAGAGGGAUUGAGGGUCCUGCUCAGUGAGUUUACAUGUUAGAGGGAGUGGGGUAUAGUGACACAGUAACAGAGGGAUUGAGGGCCUGCUCAGUGAGUUUACAUGUUAGAGGGAGUGGGGUAUAGUGACACAGUAACAGAGGGAUUGAGGGCCUGCUCAGUGAGUUUACAUGUUAGAGGGAGUGGGGUAUAGUGACACAGUAACAGAGGGAUUGAGGGCCUGCUCAGUGAGUUUACAUGUUAGAGGGAGUGGGGUAUAGUGACACAGUAACAGAGGGAUUGAGGGCCCUGCUCAGUGAGUUUACAUGUUAGAGGGAGUGGGGUAUAGUGACACAGUAACAGAGGGAUUGAGGGCCCUGCUCAGUGAGUUUACAUGUUAGAGGGAGUGGGGUAUAGUGACACAGUAACAGAGGGAUUGAGGGCCUGCUCAGUGAGUUUACAUGUUAGAGGGAGU